rnacentral:rRNA from 1 species
UACGGAGGAUGCAAGCGUUAUCCGGAAUGAUUGGGCGUAAAGCGUCCGCAGGUGGCAAUGUAAGUCUGCUGUCAAAGCGUCUGGCUCAACCAGAUAAAGGCAGUGGAAACUACAUAGCUAGAGUACGGAAGAGGCAAGUGGAAUUCCUGGUGUAGCGGUGGAAUGCGCAGAUAUCAGGAGGAACACCUAUAGCGAAGGCAGCUUGCUGGGACGUUACUGACGCUAAGGCGCGAAAGCGUGGGGAGCGAACAGG